AUUUAAUACAUAAUAACAAUAGCGGGUAGAGGUAGAAGAACAGAAAUGUCAUU
rnacentral:guide_RNA from 1 species